rnacentral:rRNA from 1 species
AGGGCAAGUCUGGUGCCAGCAGCCGCGGUAAUUCCAGCUCCAAUAGCGUAUAUUAAAGUUGGUGCAGUUAAAAAGCUCGUAGUUGAAUUUCGGGGUCAGCAGGUUGGUCGUGCCAAUGGUAUGCACUGGCCUUGCUGAUUCCUCCCUCUUGAUGAGCCGUAAUGCCAUUAAUUUGGUGUUGUGGGGAAUCAGGACUGUUACUUUGAAAAAAUUAGAGUGUUUAAAGCAGGCAAGCGCUUGAAUACAUUAGCAUGGAAUAAUGAAAUAGGACGUUCGAUCCUAUUUUGUUGGUUUCUAGGAUUGACGUAAUGAUUAAUAGGGAUAGUUGGGGGCAUUAGUAUUCAAUUGUCAGAGGUGAAAUUCUUGGAUUUAUUGAAGACUAACUACUGCGAAAGCAUUUGCCAAGGAUGUUUUCAUUAAUCAAGAACGAAAGUUAGGGGAUCGAAGACGGUCAGAUACCGUCGUAGUCUUAACCAUAAACUAUGCCGACUAGGGAUCGGAUGAUGUUAAUUUUUUAAUGACUCAUUCGGCGCCUUACGGGAA